UAGGGAAUCUUCGGCAAUGGGGGGAACCCUGACCGAGCAACGCCGCGUGAGUGAAGAAGGUUUUCGGAUCGUAAAGCUCUGUUGUUAAGGAAGAACGAGUGUGAGAAUGGAAAGUUCAUACUGUGACGGUACUUAACCAGAAAGGGACGGCUAACUACGUGCCAGCAGCCGCGGUAAUACGUAGGUCCCGAGCGUUGUCCGGAUUUAUUGGGCGUAAAGCGAGCGCAGGCGGUUAGAUAAGUCUGAAGUUAAAGGCUGUGGCUUAACCAUAGUAGGCUUUGGAAACUGUUUAACUUGAGUGCAAGAGGGGAGAGUGGAAUUCCAUGUGUAGCGGUGAAAUGCGUAGAUAUAUGGAGGAACACCGGUGGCGAAAGCGGCUCUCUGGCUUGUAACUGACGCUGAGGCUCGAAAGCGUGGGGAGCAAACAGGAUUAGAUACCCUGGUAGUCCACGCUGUAAACGAUGAGUGCUAGGUGUUAGACCCUUUCCGGGGUUUAGUGCCGUAGCUAACGCAUUAAGCACUCCGCCUGGGGAGUACGACCGCAAGGUUG
rnacentral:rRNA from 1 species